rnacentral:misc_RNA from 1 species
GCAAGCCUUGAAGCAGAGGGCCUCGAGGCCUUUAGGCAUGGGGACGGCGUAGAGGUACGGCUGCGCGUGGAUGAGGAACGCCAGUCCCCUGGUAGUGCCACUGGAGUCCUCCUGCGACACAUCAAGCCGACGGCGGAGGUCGGGGAAAUCACCACGGAUCUCGGCGGAGGCGAAAUCAGAUGCCAUGGACUGCAUGCCGUUCGAGAUCCAGCGGACGACGCACUUGCCGAGCUCCUUGCGGCCGAGCGGGUCGCCGU